rnacentral:rRNA from 1 species
CCUACGGGAGGCUGCAGUGGGGAAUAUUGCGCAAUGGGCGAAAGCCUGACGCAGCGACGCCGCGUGAGGGAUGAAGGUCUUCGGAUCGUUAACCUCUGUCAGCAGGGAAGAACGGUCACUGUGCUAAUCAGCAGUGAAUUGACGGUACCUGCAAAGGAAGCACCGGCGAACUCCGUGCCAGCAGCCGCGGUAAUACGGAGGGUGCGAGCGUUAAUCGGAAUUACUGGGCGUAAAGCGCUCGUAGGCGGUAUGUCAAGUCAAGGGUGAAAUCCCCGCGCUCAACGUGGGAACUGCCUUUGAAACUGGCAAACUGGAGUGUGUGAGAGGAUAGUGGAAUUCCAGGUGUAGGAGUGAAAUCCGUAGAUAUCUGGAGGAACAUCAGUGGCGAAGGCGACUAUCUGGCACAUAACUGACGCUGAGGAGCGAAAGCGUGGGUAGCAAACAGGAUUAGAUACCCUUGUAGUC